rnacentral:rRNA from 1 species
AAUAUUGGACAAUGGGGGCAACCCUGAUCCAGCCAUGCCGCGUGUGUGAAGAAGGUCUUCGGAUUGUAAAGCACUUUAAGUUGGGAGGAAGGGCUUUAGGCUAAUACCCUGAAGUUUUGACGUUACCAACAGAAUAAGCACCGGCUAACUCUGUGCCAGCAGCCGGGGUAAUACAGCGGGUGCAAGCGUUAAUCGGAAUUACUGGGCGGAAAGGGGGAGUAGGUGGUUCAGUAAAAUGGUGGUGAAAUCCCGGGGCUUAACCUGGGAACUGCUUUAAUAACGGCGGGGCAAGGGAACGGUAGAGGGUGGUGGAAUUUCCGGUGUGGCGGUGAAAUGCGUAGUAAUAGAAAGGAACACAGGGGGCGAAGGCGACUACCUGGACGGAUACUGACACUGAGUUGCAAAAGGGUGGGAGCAAACA